rnacentral:rRNA from 1 species
AUACAGAGGGUGCGAGCGUUAAUCGGAAUUACUGGGCGUAAAGCGCGCGUAGGCGGCUACUUAAGUCAGAUGUGAAAUCCCCGGGCUCAACCUGGGAACUGCAUCUGAUACUGGGUAGCUAGAGUUUUGGAGAGGGAAGUAGAAUUUCAGGUGUAGCGGUGAAAUGCAUAGAGAUCUAAAGGAAUACCAGUGGCGAAGGCGACUUCCUGGCCAAAAACUGACGCUGAGGUGCGAAAGCGUGGGUAGCAAACGGGAUUAGAAACCCCAGUAGUCC